rnacentral:rRNA from 1 species
GAUGAACGCUGGCGGCGUGCUUAACACAUGCAAGUCGAACGGUGAAGGCGGAGCUUGCUCUGCUGGAUCAGUGGCGCACGGGUGAGUAACACGCGAGCAAACUGCCCCUGUCUCUGGGAUAAGCGCUGGAAACGGCGUCUAAUACAGGAUACGAGCUGCGAAGGCACAUUCAGCAGCUGGAAAGGAUGUCGGUCCGGGAUGGGCUCGCGGCCUAUCAGCUUGUUGGUGAGGUAAUGGCUCACCAAGGCGUCGACGGGUAGCCGGCCUGGGAGGGUGACCGGCCACACUGGGACUGAGACACGGCCCAGACUCCAACGGGAGGCAGCAGUGGGGAAUAUUGCGCAAUGGGCGGAAGCCUGAUGCAGCAACGCCGCGUGGGGGACGACGGCCUUCGGGUUGUAAACCUCUUUUGGCAGGGAAGAAGCGAAAGUGACGGUACCUGCAGAGAAAGCGCCGGCUAACUACGUG